AUGCAUUGGUGUGGUGAGAAAGGAAAAUUGGUGUGCUGGUGCAUCGUGGUAAAGGUGCAGUCAAAAACCAAGAGUUAUAUAGAGAGGUGCAUAAGAGAAGUAUUCGAUGGUGAAUUUGCAUCCAUAUCAGUAAGAAAAGAAAUGAGUUUAAGACAGAGCAAAACUACGCAGCUCCAAAAGGUGAGGACCGGUUCAGCUCAACUAAUAAACCAGUCGGGUGAAGACGAGAUACUGAAGCUUCAAGUCCCUAAUGAAGGUGAGCGACAGUACAUGAUUAGCACAAGGUUUUUGGUGCUGUUUCAUCAGGUCCGGUGA
rnacentral:rRNA from 1 species